rnacentral:rRNA from 1 species
GUGAGGAAUAUUGGUCAAUGGGCGAGAGCCUGAACCAGCCAAGUCGCGUGAAGGAAGAAGGAUCUAUGGUUCGUAAACUUCUUUUCCAGGGGAAUAAAGUGCGGGACGUGUCCUGUUUUGUAUGUACCCUGAGAAUAAGGAUCGGCUAACUCCGUGCCAGCAGCCGCGGUAAUACGGAGGAUCCGAGCGUUAUCCGGAUUUAUUGGGUUUAAAGGGUGCGUAGGUGGUUUGAUAAGUCAGCGGUGAAAGUUUGCAGCUUAACUGUAAAAAUGCCGUUGAAACUGUCGGACUUGAGUGUAAAUGAGGUAGGCGGAAUGCGUGGUGUAGCGGUGAAAUGCAUAGAUAUCACGCAGAACUCCGAUUGCGAAGGCAGCUUACUAAGCUACAACUGACACUGAAGCACGAAAGCGUGGGGAUCAAACAGGAUUAGAUACCCGGGUAGUCC